rnacentral:sRNA from 1 species
GACCACACGCGUGCGUGGUGGGGACUACGGUGACAGUACCCCGGGUGGGGCGAGAGCCAGUCAUGGCGGAGUCCUGGUCUGGGCAGGCCUUGCAGGCUCUGCCGGCCACGGUGCUGGGCGCGCUGGGCGCGCUAGGCAGCGAGUUCUUGCGGGAGUGGGAGGCGCAGGACAUGCGCGUGACCCUCUUCAAGCUGCUGCUGCUGUGGUUGGUGUUAAGUCUCCUGGGCAUCCAGCUGGCGUGGGGGUUCUACGGGAAUACAGUGACCGGGUUGUAUCACCGUCCAGGACCCUCACCAGACUUCACCAAACAAUACCAGUGGUCUGUAACCUGACCUGGGCUGAUGCCUGCUCAGAUUCCCACCCCAGCCUUCUGCAGCUCUGGAUGUGUUUCUGCCUCCAGGUCUGGGUGGUCAGAAUGGAUCCACGCCUGAUGGCUCCACGCAUUUCCCUUCGUGGGAAAUGGCAGCAAACGAACCUCUCAAAACCCACAGAGAAUAAGGGAAGGCAGCAGAGGGUCUCCAAGGGCAUCACUGGGUCUGCUGGCUUCUACACUGGGUUCUGCUACUCCCCAGACCUCAGGGACAACUGCCGGGGGUUCAGAGUUGGUAGCAGGGAGUACCCAGUGCCUACAGGGCUGGGCCUCUUCUGCCUCUUAACCCUGCUCCCUCACCCAGGCACUGGGCAAGUGAAGAGUUUGCCUGUACUCUUAUCUGGGUGCCUUAAGGAGAGAGAUUGUGUUCUUCCUCUCUCAGGGGUGAUAACUCAGGGAGCCUCUGGGUUGGGAAGACCAUCAGUUCUUUUGUCUUAGGUUUCUUUUCCUGUCCCUCUUCCCAUCCCCAAGAUGUGACCCCAUAAAAAUUUUUCCUGAGUUGGCCAGGCAUGGUGGCUCACGCCUGUAAUCC